UACGGAGGGGUGCAAGCAUUAAUCGGAUUUACUGGGCGUAAAGGGCGCGUAGGCGGAUGAGGAAGUCAAAUGUGAAAUUCCGGAGCUCAACUUCGGAGCGGCAUUUGAAACUGAGCAUCUAUAGAGGGAUGGCGGAGAAAAUGGAAUUCCACAUGUAGCGGUGAAAUGCGUAGAUAUGUGGAAGAACACCAGUGGCGAAAGCGGUUUUCUACGCUAUUACCUGACGCUGAGGCGCGAGAGCAUGGGGAGCAAACAGG
rnacentral:rRNA from 1 species